rnacentral:rRNA from 1 species
AACGAACGCUGGCGGCAUGCCUAACACAUGCAAGUCGAACGAGACCUUCGGGUCUAGUGGCGCACGGGUGCGUAACGCGUGGGAACCUGCCCUUAGGUUCAGAAUAACUCAGAGAAAUUUGAGCUAAUACCGGAUAAUGUCUUCGGACCAAAGAUUUAUCGCCUUUGGAUGGGCCCGCGUAGGAUUAGCUUGUUGGUGGGGUAAUGGCCUACCAAGGCGACGAUCCUUAGCUGGUCUGAGAGGAUGAUCAGCCACACUGGGACUGAGACACGGCCCAGACUCCUACGGGAGGCAGCAGUGGGGAAUAUUGGACAAUGGGCGAAAGCCUGAUCCAGCAAUGCCGCGUGAGUGAUGAAGGCCUUAGGGUUGUAAAGCUCUUUUAACAGGGAUGAUAAUGACAGUACCUGGAGAAUAAGCUCCGGCUAACUCCGUG